AUGUCAACUGGGCUUUGCAUGGGUGCUGCAUUGACUGGCAUAAAUUUAAAGAAUAGAUGGGUGGUGGAUACAAACGAACAUGCUUGCAGUAGUCUAGGGGAUCACCACCCAUGCACAAAGGUAGUAUUUUCCAUCAACAAAGCUCCAAUGAAUGACAUCCUUCUUCCAUCAACCAAACAUGAUGUCUUGUAUGUUUUGCCUCCAAUUUUACAUGUACGAAAUGAGAAGGCCGAAGAUUUUCUGUCCCUUCUUCAUUAUUGGUAUGAACUUUGUGAGAAAUAUGAAGUCCAGAAAAACAACGCAGUGUUGGGCUUUGAUCACGCUAAAACGAUAGCAGAUGACGAAGAUGAAUCUCUUCCACAUGACAUAUUUGAGGUUGCGAAACUUUUAGACAUAUGUUAUGGUGAUCCAACAAAGAAUGAUCAGGUAGGCCUCUGGUUUAAGGUGAGGUGGAAAGGAUAUGGACCUGCUGAUGAUACAUGGGAGCCGAUUGAUGGCCUUCGUGAUUCUCCCGAGUCUAUCGAAGAAUUCAUUGAGAGUGGAUAUAGGGAGGGUAUUUUGCCGUUACCUCAAUAUGUCGUUGCAUAUGACAAAACAGAAGAUAAGCACUUGAAGAAAGCUCUUGUCCUUCGAGAUGCAAUAUCUGAUUUACCCAAGGUAAAAAACAAUGAACCUAAUGAUGUACUGGAGCAUCGCAAUAACCCCAGAACUGAAUUCCAACGCUAUAUUCAGCUCAAUCGUGAAGAGAUGAAGGACUACUCAUUUGGUGAUGCUGCUCCCGUGGAAGGCAAAAUGUUUGAUCAUCAGCCGUUAAAACUAAACAAAGAUGAUUAUGCAAGAGCGCGGCAGAUUCCUGUAAAAAAGGUAAGGGGGCCAACUUCCAUGAUUUGGAGGGCGUCCGGGUCGGAGAGAACAACACCGUUGAGUUUGUUCCAGAUAUUUCUCGUGUACUUCUGCGGUUCUGCCUUCAGGGAAGCCUUUGGUACUGAAAUAUUCUGUGGAGUGGUGCCUGACUAUACCAUGAGUUUCAUGGAAGGGAAGUCAUCAAAACCAUUCAGGCGCGUAUGGUGGGACGAGAUUGUUCCGACUCUUGUCACCAGAGCUGAACCUCACAACUACGUCAUCUUGCAUCCGACGCAGGACCCGGUCCUGACCGUCCGCGAGAAUGCGAGGCUGCAAGGCUUCCCAGACUACUACAGGCUCUUUGGCACUAUAAAGCAGAAAUACACCUUGUAUCACCUAGAUACACCCAGGUCGGCAAUGCGGUUGCCGACCCGGUUGCUCGAGCCCUCGGGCGUGCUUACAAGGGUGAAAUCGACGGAGACUGGCCCCUGUUCGAACUACCCGAGAGUUUCAGCCUUUUGGAUCAAGCCUCUGCCACAAGAUCGUCCGCAGGAGUAG
rnacentral:rRNA from 1 species